rnacentral:rRNA from 1 species
CUCGCCUGUUUUUCAAAAACAUGGUUUUUUGUUGGAAUAAAAAAUCUAAUCUGCCCAAUGAUUAAGAAUUGAAUGGCCGCGGUAUAUUGACCGUGCGAAGGUAGCAUAAUCAUUUGCUUUUUAAUUGGAGGCUGGAAUGAAUGAUUUGACGGAAAAGGUCUGUCUUAAUUUUACGUUUUUAAGUUUACUUUCUAGUGAGAAGGCUAAAAUGUUAUCAAGGGACGAGAAGACCCUAUUAAGCUUUAUUUUUAUUAUUUUUUUCUUUUAUGUUUUCAUAUACAAAAAAUAGUGAAAAUUUUACUGCGGCGGUAGAGAAAGAGAAAGAUCUUUUUUUAAAAAUUAAAACAUUUAUGUUAAUUUUUGAUCCAUUAUUAAUGAUAAAAAGAAGAAGUUACUAUAGGGAUAACAGCGUAAUUUUUUCGGAGAGUUCAUAUCGGCGAAGAAGUUUGCGACCUCGAUGUUGAAUUAAAGAGUCAGUAAGGCGAAGAAGUUUUAUAUGAGGGUCUGUUCGACUUAUUUCC